GAUCAAGUGUCUUAAGGGCAAUUGGUGGAUGCCUUGGCAUGCACAGGCGAUGAAGGACGUGAUACGCUGCGAUAAGCUACGGGGAGGUGCGAAUACCCUUUGAUCCGUAGAUCUCCGAAUGGGGAAACCCACCUAAGGUACUUGGAAAAUCAGAGAUGCCGAUUGGUCGACAAGGCCGACCUGCAUCUGUGGUUUCCAAGUAUCGCUAAUAGGUAACUUAUCCUGAAUCCAUAGGGAUAAAGUGGCGAACGCGGGGAACUGAAACAUCUAAGUACCCGUAGGAAAGGACAUCAACCGAGACUCCGGAAGUAGUGGCGAGCGAACCCGGACCAGGCCAGUGGCGAUUGAGAGACAAGCGGAACCUUCUGGAAAGUAGGGCCAUAGCGGGUGACAGCCCCGUACGCGUAAUGCGAUCAAUCGUCCUCGAGUAAGGCGGGACACGUGAAAUCCUGUCUGAAAUUGGGAGGACCACCUUCCAAGCCUAAGUACUCGUGCAUGACCGAUAGCGAACAAGUACCGUGAGGGAAAGGUGAAAAGCACCCCGACAAGGG
rnacentral:rRNA from 1 species